rnacentral:rRNA from 1 species
GAUGAACGCUGGCGGCGUGCCUAAUACAUGCAAGUCGAGCGAACGGACGAUAAUCUUGCGUCUCUGAUGUUAGCGGCGGACGGGUGAGUAACGCGUGUAUAACCUACCUAUAUUACUGGGAUAACUUCGGGAAACCGGAUCUUAUACCGUAGAAUAUUUUGAACCGCAUGGUUCAAAAGUGAAAGUCGGUCUUGCUGUCAGUUAUAGCUGGAUCCGCGCUGCAUUAGCUAGUUGGUAAGGUAACGGCUUACCAAGGCAACGAUGCGUAGCCGAACUGAGAGGCGGAUCGGCCACACUGGAACUGAAACACGGUCCAGACUCCUACGGGAGGCAGCAGUAGGGAACCUGCCGCAACGGGCGAAAGCAUGACGGAGCAACGCCGCGUGAGUGAUGAAGGUCUUCGGAUCGUAAAACCCUGUUAUUGGGGAAGAACAUAUGUGUACGUAGAUGUGGACAGCUUGACGGUACCUAAUAAGAAAGCACCGGCUAACUACGUG